rnacentral:rRNA from 1 species
GCAGUCUUAGUUCGGAUUGUAGGCUGCAACUCGCCUACAUGAAGUCGGAAUUGCUAGUAAUCGCGGAUCAGCAUGCCGCGGUGAAUACGUUCCCGGGCCUUGUACACACCGCCCGUCACACCAUGGGAGCCGGGGGCGCCUGAAGUCCGGGACCGCGAGGACCGGCCUAGGGCGAAACUGGUGACUGGGGCUAAGUCGUAACAAGGUACC